rnacentral:rRNA from 1 species
ACUCCUACGGGAGGCAGCAGUGGGAGUAUUGCAUCAAUGGGAAACCGGACUGNAGCCAUGCCGCGUGUGUGAAGAAGGCCUUCGGGUUGUAAAGCACUUUCAGUAGGGAGGAAGGUAGUGUAGUUAACACCUGCAUUAUUUGACGUUACCUACAGAAGAAGCACCGGCUAACUCCGUGCCAGCAGCCGCGGUAAUACGGAGGGUGCGAGCGUUAAUCGGAAUUACUGGGCGUAAAGCGCAUGCAGGCGGCCUGUUAAGUCAGAUGUGAAAGCC